rnacentral:rRNA from 1 species
GGCACCACCAGGGGGGAAACUCACCAGAACUCAAC